AGGAUGAACGCUAGCGGCAGGCUUAAUACAUGCAAGUCGAGGGGCAGCACAGGUAGCAAUACUGGGUGGCGACCGGCAAACGGGUGCGGAACACGUACGCAACCUCCCCGAAACAGGUGAAUAGCCCUCCGAAAGGAGGAUUAAUACACCGUACCAUAUAGUAACGGCAUCGUAAUUAUAUUAUAGGUAGCAAUACCGGUUUCGGAUGGGCGUGCGCCUGAUUAGGUAGUUGGCGGGGUAACGGCCCACCAAGCCUUCGAUCAGUAACUGGUGUGAGAGCACGACCAGUCACACGGGCACUGAGACACGGGCCCGACUCCUACGGGAGGCAGCAGUAAGGAAUAUUGGUCAAUGGACGCAAGUCUGAACCAGCCAUGCCGCGUGAAGGAUGAAGGCCCUCUGGGUUGUAAACUUCUUUUAUCUGGGACGAAAAAGGGAUUCUUCCUCACUUGACGGUACCAGAGGAAUAAGCACCGGCUAACUCCGCGCCAGCAGCCGC
rnacentral:rRNA from 1 species